CGGGCGAGGUUGCUUCGGUAACUGAGCUAGCGGCGGACGGGUGAGUAAUGCUUAGGAAUCUGCCUAUUAGUGGGGGACAACAUUCCGAAAGGAAUGCUAAUACCGCAUACGCCCUACGGGGGAAAGCAGGGGAUCUUCGGACCUUGCGCUAAUAGAUGAGCCUAAGUCAGAUUAGCUAGUUGGUGGGGUAAAGGCCUACCAAGGCGACGAUCUGUAGCGGGUCUGAGAGGAUGAUCCGCCACACUGGGACUGAGACACGGCCCAGACUCCUACGGGAGGCAGCAGUGGGGAAUAUUGGACAAUGGGCGCAAGCCUGAUCCAGCCAUGCCGCGUGUGUGAAGAAGGCCUUUUGGUUGUAAAGCACUUUAAGCGAGGAGGAGGCUACUUGGAUUAAUACUCUAGGAUAGUGGACGUUACUCGCAGAAUAAGCACCGGCUAACUCUGUGCCAGCAGCCGCGGUAAUACAGAGGGUGCGAGCGUUAAUCGGAUUUACUGGGCGUAAAGCGUGCGUAGGCGGCUUCUUAAGUCGGAUGUGAAAUCCCUGAGCUUAACUUAGGAAUUGCAUUCGAUACUGGGAAGCUAGAGUAUGGGAGAGGAUGGUAGAAUUCCAGGUGUAGCGGUGAAAUGCGUAGAGAUCUGGAGGAAUACCGAUGGCGAAGGCAGCCAUCUGGCCUAAUACUGACGCUGAGGUACGAAAGCAUGGGGAGCAAACAGGAUUAGAUACCCUGGUAGUCCAUGCCGUAAC
rnacentral:rRNA from 1 species